UUUUCUCGGAUCUUUGCUCUCGGUAGCUUCCGACCUCCCUGUCCCAGUGGACACAGCCGCCUCGCUUGAUGUCCCCUCCAUUGGCUGCCUGAGGUCACAAUGCCCCCUUUGCCGGCUGCCUAAGGCCGUUCACCAUUGUCGAGACUUGAAAGCCCCCUCCCCUCACGUUCAGCCUGAACCAUAGCAUCACCUCUCCCCUCUACUUCUCGAGGCCACUGCUCACUGCCAUCGAGAGCCUUUCGCUUACCUCCACUCUCAACUGCUAACUGCUCACUGCCGCUCACCGGUGUUGAGAUCCCCUCCCUCCUUUGAGGCCCCCAAAGACUGCUGUUGAGAGCCCUCCUUUCACCUUCAGCCCUCACCGCAACACUGCCCCUCCCUUUUUUGAGGCUGCCGCUCAUUGGCAUCAAGAGCACCUCCCCUCCCCUCCUUGAGGCCACUGCUUCACCUCAGCCCAUACUGUAGCAUGCAGCCUCUGGCCCUCCCGAUUUGCACAGAAAAGCAUUUUCAGACCUUUUUCUUCGUUUUGAUUGAUCUGCAUGCAGCCUCCAGAUUUCAUUAGAGAUAAUGGUUUCUUUUUCUCAAAUCCAGUUAAGCGUAGUAUGGAAUAAAAUAAGAUGUUUGAUAUCGUCCAUUUGCUUUCAGUAACCCCCAACACAAUGCAAAAUAAAAUAAAACCCAUUCAGGAUCGGUUGUGUUCCUAACAUACUAUAGGAUAUCCCCUAAUAUCUUGUGAGCUCAACAAUUAAGUAAUAGGAGGAAUGAACAAACUGUAAGCAAGGUGCAAGUUUUACUUCUUUUCAAAGGUUUAAAGCUGGAAACCCUAGUUGAUUUGCCUUUUCUGAUAAAAUAGGUUGGUCUAUUGAUACUGAAAUUAUGAAAAGGAAAUCACAAGCAAAGGAAUGGCUGGGGAAGGAGAUAAUGGGGGAAGAAGGGUAGCGGAGUGGGAUGAGUCCUUUGAUCUGUGGAUCCAUGAAUAUAUUAGGAGAAUAAGAGAAAAGGAGAGGAGAAGGGAUGCUACCUGAGUCGCAGAGUGAGGCACUGGAGGAGGAAGGAGGCGAGGGGGAGUAGGUGGCUCUAGUGAGGAUAGCGGGCGAAGGGUGAUUCCCAGUGGCAGAGAUGCUUAGAAGAGCAUAGUUAAGGUGCUUGGGCCUGUAUUUAUACUUAUAUACCAGUCAGUUCAGUUGAUUUUCUUUAAAACUUAAAACUGAAAAUAAGCAGACUUGUCCUUUUCAAACUGAUGUCAGAUUGAACAAAACUCUGACCCAAACUGAGCCAAAAUAAUCAGUUUGGAUGGGUUACCUUGGAUGAUCUUGACCAUCCCUUAGGUUUGUUUAACGGCAGCAUAUUGUUAUAGUCUGGUUUCUACAGUCUUCUUUCAUAAAAUCAAUCCUGUGCUUUAAUUAACAUGAGCAAAGUCAAACUCCAAACCUGACUCAACUCCAAAACUUUCAUUAUUUCUUAUUUUCCUUCAAGUCUGCUAAAGCUUAUUGUACGCUAUCUUGCAUAGUCUAAUCUAUAUAAUUUAAUGUGAUCAUGUGUUCAAGGACUAGCUGAUCUGUGAAUUUCUAUUAGCAGAAGCUACAAAUGAUAAUGAGCAUGUUGAUGGAAAAGGACCAUAUGCUCCGGCUGUGAAUUCACCAGUAAUAUCUCAACUCAUACUUGUAAACACCAAAACUACUGAUAUUAUCUCAGAUCCAUGAAAGGGGGCACCUACUGAUAUGGUUGUUGGAGGAAUUCCAUCAUCCAUAUGUCGACAUACAGAUGAUCAAAGAAUUGUUGACUUGUUGAUUACCGAACAUAUUGACUUGUUGAUUACUGAACAUAUUGUUCUCUUUUGUGUUGUCUUUUGAUGCAUAACAGCAAUUGCGUUAUUUGCAAUGUGCCAUUUCUUGGCUUUUCAGAUUGUACUUAAAAUGUCAUCAAUUAUACUUUAUGUGCCAUUUAUACCCAUGCAUUUGUUAUUUUUUCCCUGUGGUUUUGAAUUU
rnacentral:lncRNA from 1 species